AAGAGACAGCAGCAGCCGCGGUAAUACGUAGGGUGCGAGCGUUAAUCUGAAUUACUGGGCGUAAAGCGUGCGCAGGCGGUUCGUUAAGACAGAUGUGAAAUCCCCGGGCUUAACCUGGGAACUGCAUUUGUGACUGGCGAGCUAGAGUAUGGCAGAGGGGGGUAGAAUUCCACGUGUAGCAGUGAAAUGCGUAGAGAUGUGGAGGAAUACCGAUGGCGAAGGCAGCCCCCUGGGCCAAUACUGACGCUCAUGCACGAAAGCGUGGGGAGCAAACAGGAUUAGAUACCCGCGUAGUCCCUGUCUCUUAUAC
rnacentral:rRNA from 1 species